rnacentral:lncRNA from 1 species
GGUAAAGUAAUGAAAAAUAUGUUCUAAUUUUCUCCUUUUCUCUUCUUUUUUUGUUUUCUCUUCUUUUCUUCCUUUAUUUUCCUCUCGCGGUAGCAACCAUGGGUAACAACCACUCUCCUUUUCUUCUCUUCCUUUCUUCUCAAAUUAACAUGGUAUCAAAGUCACUAAAAUCUCAUCGCCCCCGCCACUGAAAUACCCAUCCUUAGUCGACCCUCCAACCAAGACCCUGUCAUCGUAAUCCACACGUGUGAGCCACAUGUGCCAC